rnacentral:lncRNA from 1 species
GUGCAUCCAUAGAUAGGUUCUUAACCAAUUGCUUCUCCAAAUAAUUUUUAGUAAUCAGAUUUUAUCCUAGAUAUCUCUUCAGCAGGCAUGUGUUGCCUCCAUUGAAAAUCUGAUUAGGUCCAACCAUUAAUAUGACUACAUCAAGUACAUCCAGCAAAUAAAUAUCUAGAUCCAAGUAUGGCUCAGCCAAUCUGAGUAU